GGGCCCGCACAAGCGGUGGAGCAUGUGGUUUAAUUCGAUGAUACGCGAGGAACCUUACCAGGGCUUAAAUGUAAGUUGCAUAAGCUAGAGAUAGCUUUUUUCUUCGGACUACUUACAAGGUGCUGCAUGGUUGUCGUCAGCUCGUGCCGUGAGGUGUCAGUUAAGUCCUAUAACGAGCGCAACCCCUGUUGUUAGUUGCCAUCGAGUAAUGUCGGGAACUCUAACAAGACUGCCGGUGCAAACCGCGAGGAAGGUGGGGAUGACGUCAAAUCAUCACGGCCCUUACGUCCUGGGCUACACACGUGCUACAAUGGCCGGUACAGAGAGCAGCCACUACGCGAGUAGGAG
rnacentral:rRNA from 1 species